rnacentral:misc_RNA from 1 species
CGGAUUGCACCUGCACAUCAUCGACGUGGAAGACGGUGCACCACCGCGGCUCCCCCCCUGUUCCCAUUCCUCAUGCUGCGACUUAGCGUCGCGCUCUGGAGACGGCGCGCUGCUGGUAUUGUGGGGCUACCGAAUGUGGGCAAGUCCACCCUCUUUAACGCCCUCACGUGCAGCCAAAUAGCAAAGACGGGCAACUUUCCAUUCUGUACGAUCGACGCGAACACGUCGAAGGUGCCGAUCGUCGAUCCGCGGCUGCGCCAGCUGGCGCAGUUCACUCAGGCAGAGAAGAUUGUCGACGUCGAGGUAGACUUGACGGACGUGGCGGGGCUGAUCGCUGGAGCAUCGAAGGGGGCCGGGCUCGGCAAUAAGUUCCUCGCUGACAUCCGAAACUGCGCCGUGCUGCUGCAUACGGUGCGCUGCUUCGAGAGCUCCAAGGAGGGCUUUGACACCCCGCACCCUCUGGAUGACAUUCAUGUCAUUCUGAGUGAGCUUGUCCUGUCGGACCUCGAGAUGGUGGAGAAGCGGAUGCGCAAGGUACAAAAGACGAUGAAGGCGCAGGACGUUGAAUACAGCUUCUUGAAGCGCCUUCAGCAGUGGCUGGAGGAGGGCAAGCCAGCAGCAGACAUGCCUGCAAAGGCGAAGCUCACUGUGACGGAGAAAGGCUUGCUGCAGAGCUACGACUUGCUCUCCCACAAGCCCAUGAUGUUUGUGCUGAACGUGGACGAGCGGGGUGUGAAGGAUGGCAACGCCUUCUCUCGUGAGGUGGAGGCCGCCUUCGGGGCCGAGCGGACCUGCCGUGUGUCGGUCGCCAUCGAGGAGCAGACAGCACAACUUGCAUCGCGCGAGGAGCAGCUCAUGUUCCUGGAAGAGUACGGCAUCGACGUGCCGCGUGGCCAGGUACUGAUGAAGCAGGUGUAUGCGCUGCUCAAGCUUCAGUCCUUUUUCACAGUGGGGCCGAAGAUGGCGCAUGGCUGGACAGUGGCGCAGGGCUCAACGGCGCGGCAGGCAGCCGGUGAGAUCCACUCCGACUUCGAGAAGAACUUUGUGCGCGCCAAGGUGAUGACAUGGGACACGUUCAUCGGGCGACCAAACCUCGAAUCUGCGGAGAUGCAGAUGCGCACGGUGAACGACAGGUACGUGAUGCAGGAUGGCGAGGUGUUCAUUGUAGAGCACAACACGCAGCGUGGGUAGCGUUGCUAGAUCGCGCUGAUGCGCAGGUCGGGGUGGGGCUAGGGCGAGCAAGGAUUGCGAGAGCCCCAUACCUUUCUUGCCACAGCCACCACCGUUGCGCAUGACGCAUACGUGUAAGCGCAGGUGUACACUUGCUCUACUCACGUGCCUGUGCCACUGAAUGAGGAAGGAGAAAGAGGGGCGAGUGGGCUGUGCGUGUCUGUGCCCGCGCCCACGCACAUGCAUGAGAGCGGGUCUAUGUCUCAUCGUUGGUAACGACGGUUGUUCACACAAGGCGCUUAGCCAAG